rnacentral:rRNA from 1 species
AUUGAACGCUGGCGGCAAGCCUAACACAUGCAAGUCGAACGAGUGGCGGACGGGUGAGUAAUGUCUGGGAAACUGCCUGAUGGAGGGGGAUAACUACUGGAAACGGUAGCUAAUACCGCAUACCCUCGGAUGUGCCCAGAUGGGAUUAGCUAGUUGGUUGGGUAACGUCUCACCUAGGCGACGAUCCCUAGCUGGUCUGAGAGGAUGACCAGCCACACUGGAAAUGAGACAGGGUCCAGACUCCUACGGGAGGCAGCAGUGGGGAAUAUUGCACAAUGGGCGCAAGCCUGAUGCAGCCAUGCCGCGUGUAUGAAGAAGGCCUUCGGGUUGUAAAGUACUUUCAGCGGGGAGGCGUUAACUGCAGAAGAAGCACCGGCUAACUCCGUGCCAGCAGCCGCGGUAAUAC